rnacentral:rRNA from 1 species
UACAGAGGGUGCAAGCGUUUAAUCGGAAUUACUGGGCGUAAAGCGCACGUAGGCGGCUUUGCAAGUUAGAGGUGAAAGCCCGGGGCUCAACUCCGGAAUUGCCUUUAAAACUGCAUCGCUAGAAUUGUGGAGAGGUAAGUGGAAUUCCGAGUGUAGAGGUGAAAUUCGUAGAUAUUCGGAAGAACACCAGUGGCGAAGGCGACUUACUGGACACAUAUUGACGCUGAGGUGCGAAAGCGUGGGGAGCAAACAGGG